GGGCGGCGGAGGGGAGACCGGGCCGGCGGCGGCGGCGGCGGCAACGGGCGGGGGAGGGGGCUGAUCCCGCGUCUCCCCUCAGCAGACAAUACAAGCGCCUCGGACCGAGUCCCCGAACCUGCCCUAGCCAAAAUGGCGGCCGAGAAAGAGCGGAAGUGACGUUAAAGAGGCUUUUGCGCACUGGAGAUAUAAGCAAAAAAGGUAUAAGGUGACUUUAUGCAGAGAUCGAAGGAUGAGCAGCAGACAGUCAUCAAGAGCAUGGAAAUAGCAUUUCAGGCAGAGAAACAUGCUUAUGGCAUGGAAAGGAAAGGAAGGAGCACAAGACAGAGGUCAGAAAGGGAGGCAGAGGCCAACAAACACAUAGGGGCUUGAGGGACAAGGGAAUGAGCUUGAAUUUUUCCCUAGAUGUUAGCAGGAACUCCCUGAACUAUUCUAAACUGGAGGGCCAAUAAUCUGAUUGUUUUUGUGUAUCUAGCUUAAACUCAGAACAGCUUCCAAAAUCUUAUUCACAGAGGUUUUGUGAUCUUUGGGCUAAGAAUAUAAUUAUAUUGCCUACAAAUAAAUUAUGUAUACUUUACUAAUAUUUAACUAAAUUCUUGCGUUACUGUAUUAACAUUUCCAUGUUUAAUGAUAGCUAGCAUGCCUAUCUUAAUGAAUUUACUGGAAAUGAUUCAGCAUUUCACUAUUUGGUGUGAUAUUUGUAUUAGGACUGGGUUAUUUUUAUUAUGCUUAAGAGGUUUCCUUCUAUUCUUAAAGUUUUAACUAGAAAAUGGUAGUAAAUAAUAUCUCUUUUAGCAUCUACAGAGUUAACCACACUACUCAUGAAUGAAUUAUGAGUGAUUACCAAUAACGAGCCAUUCUGGCAUUCCUGGAAUAAACUCUUUUGUUCAUGGUG